UUUUAACCAAUUAUUGAUUGACAGUUGGGUGCUUUUUGUAGAUUCUGGGCCAGAGAAUUUGGGCUGAAACUUUUGUUAACAAAGCCCGUGGAACUUUAAUGGUUAACAGGUUAAGGAUGUUUACCAGGAUCAAAAGACAUAUUUUCUUCAAUUAUUGUGCACUGAAAGAAGACCAGACUCCAACAUCAGAAGCUAUAUGCAUCCAGUAGUGGUCCUAUGAUUGGAGUAUUGUGCCACAAUAUUACAUUAAGUUUUAAGGAAUUCUUUAUGUAUAUUGUAUAUACCCCCACCCCCACCCCCACCUCUACACCUCCUUUCAAAUUAUCUAUCAUGAUUCUUUUUAACGACACUCUUAAGAAACAUUAAUUAGGAGAGAUUGAAGGGUUUGUAGUCUUUAAUUACUACUAAGGGUAAAAUAGGAAAAAGAUAAGUUUAUCUUGGAACUUCUAAAAGACAAAUAAUUUGACACAACUACUUGUAGCAAUCACAAUAGAUAAUAGACGGGAGGAGUAUUAUGUUUUACAUACUGAUAAACCAGAUAUCUGUCUUAGCUGCUAUGGAAAUGAAUAUGGAUCCAGAUAGAAUGAAAUAGAUGUAAAAUAAGCUUUGGUGGUGCAGUUCUGACUACUUUUUGCAGUGCAUAAUUAAACACUGUGGGUCGCUCAACAAGAGAAGAACCUACUACAUAUGCUGCUACAAUAUUGAAAUACCUAAGGAACUUGACAGAGGAGAAGCCAGCAUGGCCAUCAAAAACAGCAGCAUAAGUAAAGCCAUCAAGAUCAUCGGAUUGAACGAUGACAGCAUCAUCUUCCAUCUCUUCACGUGGACCUUGGAUCAUAGUUGAGCCCCAUCUUAUGCCAGAAACACUGGUUAAAGGAGCCGGCGCAUCGAUUGCAAUUGCAGAACAGCAUCUUCCUCUGCCUUCUCCACCUCCACCAGCAGUCUUUUGUAUUAUGUUCUUUUUGUAGCCAUAGUUGCAGCAAAUUUUGUUUAAUAGAAGAAUUUUUUGCAAGUGGGGAUUAGAUAAGGCCAUUGAUGAAAUAUGGGGAGUCUUGGUUCUCAACAAGACUCGAGUUAGUGUAAGAUUUUUCCUCAAGUCAGCAGAAAAUUUGCUUGGUUAAGGUUAACCAAGGAUAAGAAAACUUCCAAGGCAGAAUCCAAUAACUGAUUUUAACCAAUUAUUGAUUGACAGUUGGGUGCUUUUUGUAGAUUCUGGGCCAGAGAAUUUGGGCUGAAACUUUUGUUAACAAAGCCCGUGGAACUUUAAUGGUUAACAGGUUAAGGAUGUUUACCAGGAUCAAAAGACAUAUUUUCUUCAAUUAUUGUGCACUGAAAGAAGACCAGACUCCAACAUCAGAAGCUAUAUGCAUCCAGUAGUGGUC
rnacentral:lncRNA from 1 species